rnacentral:lncRNA from 1 species
CCUCAAGAGAAGAAAGACUUUGGAUGGCUGUCCUGUGAUUUGAGUCCAUCUACCAAGCUUGGAGCUACAUUUGGACAUGCUAUGGUGUGAAUGAAGAUGAAACACAAGAAUGGCCCUUCAGUAUCCUGGAGAUAAUGAUGUGCUUUGGAGAGUACACGUCAAGUAUAAGGAAGUCCUUCCAGGAUCAGCAUGAAGCCUUAGGACCUAAACAAACUGUGACAAAUUCCGUGGUAUUAGUGUCUGAAUGCCUAUGCUUUAAAUAGGUUGAAAGCCAUUCCUCAAGGUUGUGGCAAAAUUUCAAGAUGCAACACUGGGAGGCGAUUUGCUCUUUAUAUAGAAGCCUCAAGCCUUGGUUUUGUGUCUCAAUAAAAGAAGUCCCAGAGAAGUUUGUCUCUUUUCUCCAUGUUAAUGUAGCAAAAGGACAGCUGAUGAUUAAGGGGAGGCUGGCUUUCCCCAGGAACUGGAUCUGCUAUCACCUCAGUCUUGUAUCUCUGAAUAUUUAGAAAUAAAUUCCU